CGCUGGCGGCGUGCCUAACACAUGCAAGUCAACUUGACUGAAGGAGCAAUCUGACAGUAGAGUGGACGCAAGGGUGCGUAACGCGUAAGUAACUUGCCCAAGGUAAGGAAUAACGUCGAGAAAUCGGCGCUAAUACCUCAUAAUGCAGCGGAUCCGCAUGGAUAUGUUGUUAAAGGUUUACCGCCUUGGGAUAGGCUUGCGUCUGAUUAGCUAGUUGGUGUGGUAACGGCACACCAAGGCUACGAUCAGUAACUGGUCUGAGAGGAUGAUCAGUCACACUGGAACUGAGACACGGUCCAGACUCCUACGGGAGGCAGCAGUGAGGAAUAUUGGGCAAUGCUCGAAAGAGUGACCCAGCAACGCCGCGUGGAGGAUGAAGGUAUUCUAUAUCGUAAACUCCUGUGAGAGCAGACGAAAGACAGAUUAUUAAUCUGGAUGACUGUAUGCUCAGAGGAAGCCCCGGCUAACUACGUG
rnacentral:rRNA from 1 species